rnacentral:rRNA from 1 species
GGUUUGGUGGUCAUAGCGCUGGCUAAACACCCGAUCCCUUCCCGAACUCGGCCGUUAAGGGCCAACACGCCAAUGGUACUGCGUCUUAAGACGUGGGAGAGUAGGUCACCGCCAAACCU